rnacentral:lncRNA from 1 species
ACAACACCCCAUCUCAGAGACCAAACACUUGGAACCCUAGUCGUCGCCACUUCCACCACCCAGAAACCCGGCGGCUCCACUCAUUUUCACCACAAAAUUAACACCAAAUUAUCUCUUCAACCUCCUCUCCACCAAUCUUUAUUCCCUUUCCCUCGAAUCCCCCUCAAACUGCUCGAAGUUUGGAUAUGAGGAUCGAACCCUAGUUCCCAAAAGGCUCAAGUUUGAUUUUGUUUGAAGAUUUGGGAUAGUUUUGAUUUUAUUCGUGUGUUCUUAUUAAGAACACACGUAGGCCAGAAAGUCCAAAGAAGUUUGAAGUUUCGAUCCCUUCCUUCAUGCGUUGGAGUCCUUGUAGGUACUUCUUUUUCAUUUGUUUUUCUUUUGUUAGUUUUUCUUUCUACUUUACUUUUUCUUUUAUUUUUUACCUUCUGUGGCCAUCUGCUUCUCCCCCUUUCUUUUGAACUUAUUUUGCUUUCCAAGUUACAGAGUGUCCUUUACAUGCAUUUUAGUCUUAAUAAAACCAUUUUCUCUAAUUCAGUAUGUUAAUUAGGUUGGUUGCAAAUUAUUAAUUCUAGUUCGAUUUUGAAAUUAUCUGAAUUGUUCUAUUUUGUUUCUCCUCAAUUAGUUUGUUUGUUCUUGGGCUAGGGAGGGGUUCAUAAUUUUAGGCUCAAACUGAUGAUUUGGGCUGGACUUCUAAAUGAGUCAGCCCAGGAUCGACUUGACCCAUAACCAAUUUGAGGUUCAAGGGGUAAAAAUUCAGGAGUAACUAGGGGUAAUUGGGAUAAUGCACCUAAAGAAUCUCUCAGUAACAACCUGAAGAAGCUUCCUAGAAGCUGCAAAAUAGACUAGCUUCGCUAACAAGUCAAUAAUCUAGGGACUAAGUAUUAUAAAAGAAAAUUCGAAAAGGACUAAAUGAAAAAAUGAAAAAGCUAAAUCCUUAAGGCUGCCCUAGUAACUUGCCUAUAAAGAUAUUGUUACUUGCAACUCAAUUCAUAUUUUAGAAAAGAGAAAAUUUUGGAAAAAACCAAAAGAGUAAAAAUUUCCAAAAGUUACUGUUCCUUUGAAUUUUCCUUAGUGAUUUUGAAGUUUCCCAGUUCUGAAUCAGAUCUCUAGCUAUUUUGAUGUCGAAAAUGGCUUAGGUAGUGCUGUGAUUUUAGCAUCUAAGGUCCUGAAACCUCCUGGGGAUAUUUGACUUUGAACUUGGUCAUUUGAGCUUGGUUUGAGCUGUUUUGGCUAGUUGUUUACUACUGACUCACACGGUGUAUGUGCUGAUUAUUCACCCCUGUUUUCUCUCAAAUUUUCAGGUGCUUUAUAAGCUAAUGAUUGAGGAAUGAUUGUUGAACAUGUAAUAGAGUUGAAGUUUUGUUAAAUGAAGACUCUAUUUGGAGUUGAUUUCACAUUUUCCUUAUACUAUGUCCAUGUUCUGUAUUUAGAUUUCAAGUUUUAGAUGUUAAUUAGCAUUUUUUUCUCUUAAAUUGAGUAUGUGAAAGUCAUCUAGUUUAGUAUUUUGUAUAUUCAUGUUUGACGUUGUAUCCUAGCUGAUAGCUUUAUCAUUUUUCUGCAGAGAAUCAUUUAGCUUGUAUAAGGCUGAAUGUUGGCCUGCGUGUAUACUGAUUUAUGCAAAUGUAGUUUAAUAGGCAUGAUUGUCAC